rnacentral:rRNA from 1 species
UAUGGCGACCGGCGCACGGGUGAGUAACACGUAUCCAACCUGCCGAUGACUCGGGGAUAGCCUUUCGAAAGAAAGAUUAAUACCCGAUGGCAUAGUUCUUCCGCAUGGUAGAACUAUUAAAGAAUUUCGGUCAUCGAUGGGGAUGCGUUCCAUUAGGUUGUUGGCGGGGUAACGGCCCACCAAGCCUUCGAUGGAUAGGGGCUCUGAGAGGAAGGUCCCCCACAUUGGAACUGAGACACGGUCCAA